AGGACUUCAUGCUUCAUGUGUUGGUCCCAACCCAACUUCCCACUGCUGCUCUUCUGACAAAUGAACAUGAUUCUGCUCUUACCUGCCUCUAUCUAUUCUGCUUUGGGUUUUCAAGUGGAAGAAAAGUGAGAAGAUAGAAAUAAAACGAUUAUGUGUUUGGGCCA
rnacentral:lncRNA from 13 species